ACAAAAAGAAACCGAAGGCAGAGAGACUUCAAAAAAGUAAAUGCACUUGAAGAAAAGAAAAGCAACUCAGGAGACGGCGUAAAUCUCUGCUCAACCAAAAGAGUCACUUGAAGCCAACGGAGCAGAGAACUAAGAUAAGGGAGAGAGUAGUAAAAAACACCCUUAUCAUCAAACGCAGAACGGAUCAAACGGUCAUGGCGGGUCCAGGUUGCGACAGUCCCGAUCAGCAGCAUCGCGAGCUUCCUCCGGUACCUCCUCCUCCCAAUACAGGUCAGUUUGUUUGGAUUGCCCCAAUUUUGCUAGUGCAUGAGCCGAUUGAUUUCCACUUGGUGAGAAAAAGAAACCAGGCAAGAAUGGAAAGAGCUAAUUUUGUUUUUGAUGUUUGCGAUAACAUGUCGAAUUUCGGAGAGAUAAACCGCUGGAGAGUUGAUCCGCUGAACAACAGAUCAAGCAUCCCCUUCCAACACUAUCUUCAUAAAACCCAUUUUCGCAGCGAAGUGUAGACCAUGCAAGAAAGCAAAAGCCUUCGCUUCAAAAGGCGAUCUAACUGGUAACUGGCAUCCACAUUCACCUUGACCAGGUUUGCAGGGGGUGAGGACUAGGGUAUGGAUUCUUGCGGAUUUGGGUGAGAUAGAGAUGAAAUGAGAGACCCCAAUUCUGUUGCAUAGCCUAAUACAAAGGCCCAAAACCCGGAGCCCAAUUACAAAUAAACCUAACCCAAUUUACAAACAGACCGGAGCCCAACCCGACCAGGCCCAGCAGAACCCUUCUAGGGUUUCCAUCAUCUUAGCCAGCCGCCAACGAUCUCCACCGUUGGAUCUGGCAAGAUCCAACGGUCCAAAGCUCUCCAACAAGAAACCCUCGGGUUAUGAUACCCUAGGGACCACGCGGCGCCGCCUCUGUCUCCAGUCGCCCCACGUCGACGUUCCAGCUGCCGCCGCCCUCAAAGAAGCCUCCAGAAGCACCACCGAGCCAUCCACGUUGCUACCCUAUGGUGAGUCACCACCAUAGUUCGGUGACUCACCGAGGGCCAUUCCAUUACCCGGUCCGAUGAACGUCUCGACGAGGCUAUAAAGCCUCGGUUCACCUGCAAACAAAAAAGACCAGACGACAGAGGGAGAACAAGCAAGAACAGGAAGCAACCAAAGAAAAAAAAGAGAGAGAUAGCAAACAUUUACACCAAAGAUCCCAGAUAAUACCAAACCGAAAAAAAGGAGAAGAAGUUGAGAGUCUUACCGCCGAGAAAAGCAACCGUCGCCAGAAACAACCAAAGCCCGAAGGUAUUUUCAUAGAUUUGCUCCGAUCGGGAGCUUUUUAAGAAAA